GUCAGCUUCUAGGGUUUUUUUUUUCUUUCUUUCUUUUCUUUUCUUCCUCUCCUCUUCUCUCAUCUUCUCUCGUGUUCUCCGUCGAGGAGAAACGUCGACGGCGUUGGAGCUCCGUCUUGGAGGAAGAGCGGCGCCCCCUCGUUUCUUCACGCUUCGCCUCAGGCUGUUCUGAGAGGGAAUUUGAAGCUCUUUCCUAAUUAUUUUCUAUUUGUACUCUCAGCUUAAAAUCUAAAAACUACUCUGCAGCCGUUAGACUAGCUUCAGGGGCUAGCCAUAUGGGCGCAAAGACACUAACUGAGGGAUUUAGCUUGCGUAGUCGGCCACCUUUGGCGAGUCUGUCCGCACAUGCAUUCUGUGAUCUUGGGAUAGCAGAUAUAGAGAAGCUUGAGAAAUCAAAGGAUAAUGCUUUAAUCUCGUCUAGCUCCGGCGCUAAGGCCGGCCAUUCCAUAUCGAUUAUGCCUUCUGCUUCCGCAUGGAGAGGUGAAACCGAGCUGAUGUUACCCUUGACCCCGAACAGGGUGGAUCUUCCAUCAUCUAAGUAGCACAAACCCGAGACCUGUAGCGCCCUGAUCUUCGAUCCAAGAUGCGUCAACCUGGCAUUUCCAUCUCCCUGCUUCAAUUCCCUGUCUCAUCUGAUCGCCACCUACUGGCAUAUCGUCACCCCCGAAUUGAAAGUACUUAUUUAUUGAUGCAAAGUCUAUCUGUUGGAUCAGUUGUAUGUGCCAAUGUUUUUGUAUGUGCCAACCUUUUUUUUUAAGAAACCUAAAUUAAGAAACU